rnacentral:misc_RNA from 1 species
GUGAUUCCAUUACGCACAUAAUAAUCUAAACACACUUGUUGACUACUGGUUCUUGGGAACCAUUUCAGGGCUUUGCACGUGAAGUAGAAAGUUUUUUAAUUAAGCAACAGACAAGAAUAUCAAAAUAAUCUGGCAAUGUUAAGAUGCCAUGCGAUCCAUCUUACUACAAGACAAGUCCAGAAUUAAAAAUGUGAUGUAAUAGCAUACUAACCUCCAAAUACUCGGAUGAAGUGCAAUGUGGAAAUCAACCCAUAAGCCUCUUCCCUGAAAACUUUGUGUUUUCAACAUGGAACACCAAUUUCUCUCCUUUCCAAUCUUUUUCAUCUUCUUCAUUUUCAUCCUCUUGGUAUUGAGAAUAAGGAAGAAAGCAAAAAUCAACAACUCAUCUCCAAAUCUACCACCAGGGCCGUGGAAAUUGCCCCUUAUAGGGAGUAUGCACCAUUUAGUUGGCUCCCUACCCCAUCACCGCCUGAGAGACUUGGCUAAAAAGUAUGGACCUCUUAUGCACCUUCAACUUGGUGAAGUUACCAACAUAGUUAUUUCUUCACCUGAAACUGCUAAAGAAGUGAUGAAAACCCAUGAUGUCAUAUUUGCUCAAAGGCCCUUUCUCCUCGCUGCAAGUAUUGUGGCUUAUGAUUUUUCAGACAUUGCAUUCGCUCCCUAUGGAAACUAUUGGAGACAAAUGAGAAAAAUUUGCACGCUGGAGCUGCUAACUGCGAAAAGAGUGCAGUCAUUUAGAUCAAUCAGGGAAGAAGAAAUAUCAAAACUCAUUAGAACCCUGUCUUCUGGUGCAGGAUCACCAAUCAACUUUAGCAGGAUGUUCAAUUCUUUGACCUACAGCGUCACCUCAAGAGCAGCCUUUGGUAAGAUAUGGAAGGCAGAAGAAAUCUUCAUACCAACAGUUAAGAAACUGAUACAAUUGGCUGGCGGUUUUAGUCUUGCUGAUAUCUACCCUUCCACCAAAUUGCUUCAUGUGAUUAGUACGGUGAGGCCUAAAUUAGAGAGGCUUCAUCAAAUAGCAGAUAAGAUACUUGAAAGCAUCAUCUAUGAACAUAGAGCUAGAAAGGCAGCAGCAAAAUCUGGGGCUGAUUAUGAAGAAGAAGAUUUUGUAGACGUUCUUCUGAAUCUUCAGGAUCGUGCAGGCCUUGAAUUCCCUUUAACAAAUGACAACAUAAAAGGAGUCAUCCUGGACAUGUUCAUUGCUGGUAGUGAGACAUCAUCAACAACCAUAGAAUGGGCAAUGUCAGAGAUGCUAAAAAAUCCAAGAGUGAUGGAAAAGGCACAAGUUGAGGUGAGGCAGGUCUUUGGUGUAGAAGGAAACAUUGAUGAAGAACGACUUCAUGAACUGAACUACUUAAAGAUGGUAAUCAAUGAAACUCUAAGAUUACACCCUCCUAUUCCAUUGUUACUUCCAAGAGAAUGUAGGGAGAAUUGUGUGAUUAACGGUUACGGCAUUCCUGUCAAAUCUAAAGUUAUUGUGAACACAUGGGCGAUUGGAAGGGAUCCCAAUUAUUGGAUUGAAGCUGAGAGAUUUUAUCCAGAAAGAUUUCUUAAUAGUUCAAUAGAUUAUAAGGGUACUAACUUUGAAUUUAUCCCAUUUGGUGCUGGAAGGAGGAUUUGUCCAGGAAUAUUGUUUGGCAUAGCUAAUGUUGAGCUUCCACUUGCACAGUUGCUGUACUAUUUUGAUUGGAAACUCCCUGCAGGGCUGAAGCCAGAAAAUCUUGACAUGGUUGAAGCUUUUGGUGCUGUUGUGAAAAGGAAAAAUGAUCUCCACUUAAUCCCCAUUCCACACUUUCCGCCACCUGUCGAUUAAAAUAUAUAUAUAUGUUAGUUUGAUAUCAGCCAACUAGUAAAUUGAUUGUGAUAUGACAACUCAAUUUCUCCUUUCAGAGAAUCAAGUGCAUUGUAGCUGAUAAAAAUUUGCCCAGCUAUUCCGAUUCAUUUAUGCCCAAUUGGGAUCUCAAAUAAUUUUUUUUGGAAUUUAUGGUUCAAGUGUACACAACUUUUUAGCUGUUAAAUAUGCUCUCAAGGCUCUGGCAUUGAAAAGCUACCUCUUGAACUACAAUCACAAACAUAUGGCAAGACAUUGGGUAAUAGCAUUAUUUAGGUGAAUUAUAAAUGAGAUUUGAGAACUUGGGAAGACAUGGCUGGGAUUAGAAACUUUUCUUCCUGUCCAUGUUCAAAAGCAAGUUUAUCAAUUAUAUCUGUUAAAAAAAUUGCAGCCUACUAUAUGGGUUUGAGCUAUUAGCAUCAGCAAUGACAAGAAAAG